UUAGGAGGAGCAGCAAUUCUCAGAGAAAAUAAUGUUUAAGAUGAUGUACAUAGUUGGCAAACAUAAAGAUUAAGAAUGCUCGGGCAAGACCAUUCUGAAGGGCAGCGUGGCACAGGGUGCUGGUUUCUCUGGCUAUGAAGAACAGAAUGUCAGGGUUUUUUUCCCAGAAAACAAAACAAAACCAAACCAACCACAGGUGGUUGCAAAGGAGCAAGACUUCACUAGGAAAACAGCCUCAGGAAAAAUGACCGAGUUUUUCCCUUGGGAUAUGGAGUGAGGGUUGAAGUAAAAGAGCAAGCUUUAGUCCUUCAAGUUCUUUGCCAAAAGGCCGUUCUGUUUGAUGAAAUUGAGGGGUGGAAAACAAGAAAAUUUAUACACAGCAACAGGUUAGAACUCCAGCAAAAAUACAGAAGGAUUUCAUCCUUGUCCACUCUAACGAAUAACUGCUAGGGGAAAAAAGGUGUGUGUUUAUAUAUAUACUUCCGUAAUUUACAUGUUAAAUAUGUAUGUAUGUACCAAUAAAUACAUAUUCAUGUUGUUUAGGAAAGAU